rnacentral:rRNA from 1 species
AUACGUAGGGGGCGAGCGUUGUCCGGAAUUACUGGGCGUAAAGGGUGCGUAGGCGGCACUUUAAGUUGGAUGUGAAAUCCCCGUGCUUAACAUGGGAGCUGCAUCCAAUACUGGAGAGCUAGAGUGCAGGAGAGGUAAGCGGAAUUCCUAGUGUAGCGGUGAAAUGCGUAGAUAUUAGGAGGAACACCAGUGGCGAAGGCGGCUUACUGGACUGUAACUGACACUGAGGCACGAAAGCGUGGGGAGCAAACAGGAUUAGAUACCCUGGUAGUCCACGCUGUAAACGAUGAAUACUAGGUGUAGGGGGUAUCAACUCCCUCUGUGCCGCAGCAAACGCAAUAAGUAUUCCGCCUGGGGAGUACGGCCGCAAGGUUGAAACUCAAAUGAAUUGACGGGG